AUCCAGCUGAUGAGUCUCUUAAAUAGGACGAAACGCUCGUCAAACUGGAU
rnacentral:hammerhead_ribozyme from 1 species